AUUGAACGCUGGCGGCAGGCCUAACACAUGCAAGUCGAGCGAGAGGCGGACGGGUGAGUAAUGUCUGGGAAACUGCCUGAUGGAGGGGGAUAACUACUGGAAACGGUAGCUAAUACCGCAUACCAUCAGAUGUGCCCAGAUGGGAUUAGCGAGUAGGUGGGGUAACGGCUCACCUAGGCGACGAUCCCUAGCUGGGCUGAGAGGAUGACCAGCCACACGGGAACGUGGACACGGUCCAGACUCCUACGGGAGGCAUGAGGGGGGAAUAUUGCACAAUGGGCGCAAGCCUGAUGCAGCCAUGCCGGGGGUGUGAAGAAGGCCUUCGGGUUGGAAAGCACUUUCAGCGGGGAGGCGUUACCCGCAGAAGAAGCACCGGCUAACUCCGGGCCAGCAGCCGCGGUAAUUC
rnacentral:rRNA from 1 species